CCUGCAGGGGAAGACGUGGAGCUGGUGAUACAGAGCAAGCAGGACAUCUUCAGGAAGAUGGUCCAGUCCCGCGUGGGUGACUCCUUCUACAUCCGCACACACUUUGAGCUGGAGCCAAGCCCGCCCUACGGCCUGGGCUUCACUCGCGGUGAUGUGUUCCACGUGGUGGACACGUUGUACCGGGGCUCUGGGUCAGGCCACGGGCACAGCAGCCAUGGGGGUCUCUGGCUGGCGGCCCGAAUGGGCAGAGAUCUCCGAGAGCAAGAACGAGGCGUCAUUCCCAACCAGAGCAGGGCCGAGCAGCUGGCCAGUUUGGAGGCCGCGCAGCGGGCCGCGGGCCUGGGGCCAGGCGCCUCAACAGGCUCCAACCCACGGGCCGAGUUCUGGCGACUCCGAGGUCUCCGGCGAGGGGCCAAGAAGACAAUGACCCAGCGGAGCCGCGAGGACCUGUCGGCGCUGACCAGGCAGGGACACUACCCACCCUACGAGCGAGUCGUGCUACGAGAAGGUGGGUAGCUGCGGGCAUGGGGUGGGGGGAAGGUGAGGACGACUCAUCGAAGGAGACCGGACCCUCCUCCCAAGAUCACAGAGGCUCAAGGCCAUAGCCAGCUGUCCUCAAGAUGCCCUGCUUCCUGUUGGUAACAAUCCUGUCACCCCAGCACUUGGGAGCCUGAGGCAGGGGGUUUCUGUGAGUUUGAGGCCAACCUGGUCUAGAUGGAGAGUUCCAGGACAGUCAGUGAAACCCUGUCACAAAUAAAUGACUAUAAAAACUUCUAUGAGGGGGCUGGAGAGAUGGCUCAGCGGUUAAGAGCACUGACUGCUCUUCCAGAGGUCCUGAGUUCAAUUCCCAGCAACCACAUGGUGGCUCACAGCCAUCUGUAAUGAGAUCUGAUGCCCUCUUCUGGUGUGUCCGAAGAUAGUGACAGUGUCAUAUACAUUAAAUAAAUCUUUAAAAAAAAAAAAAAAA
rnacentral:lncRNA from 1 species